rnacentral:rRNA from 1 species
CCUACGGGCGGCAGCAGUGAGGAAUAUUGGUCAAUGGACGCGAGUCUGAACCAGCCAAGUAGCGUGAAGGAUGACUGCUCUAUGGGUUGUAAACUUCUUUUAUAAAGGAAUAAAACGAGGCACGUGUGCCUUUUUGCAUGUACCUUAUGAAUAAGGAUCGGCUAACUCCGUGCCAGCAGCCGCGGUAAUACGGAGGAUCCGAGCGUUAUCCGGAUUUAUUGGGUUUAAAGGGUGCGUAGGCGGGUGUUUAAGUCAGUGGUGAAAGUCUGCGGCUCAACCGUAGAAUUGCAUUUGAUACUGGCAGUCUUGAGUACAGUUGAGGUAGGCGGAAGGCGUGGUGUAGCGGUGAAAUGCUUAGAUAUCACGAAGAACCCCGAUUGCGAAGGCAGCUUACCAAGCUAUGACUGACGUUGAUGCACGAAAGUGUGGGGAUCAAACAGGAUUAGAUACCCGGGUAGUC